rnacentral:rRNA from 1 species
CAGCAGCCGCGGUAAUUCGUAGGUGGCAAGCGUUGUCCGGAAUUAUUGGGCGUAAAGGGCGCGUAGGCGGUUUGACAAGUCUUAUGUGAAAUCUUCGGGCUCAACUCGAAGUCUGCAUGGGAAACUGUCGGGCUUGAGUAUGGGAGAGGUGAGUGGAAUUUCCGGUGUAGCGGUGAAAUGCGUAGAUAUCGGAAGGAACACCUGUGGCGAAAGCGGCUCACUGGACCAUAACUGACGCUGAGGUGCGAAAGCUAGGGGAGCAAACAGGAUUAGAUACCCGCGUAGUCCCUGUCUCUUAUAC